rnacentral:rRNA from 1 species
GAUUAUGGCUCAGGAUGAACGCUAGCUACAGGCUUAACACAUGCAAGUCGAGGGGCAUCAUGGAGUUGCUUGCAAACUCUGAUGGCGACCGGCGCACGGGUGAGUAACGCGUAUCCAACCUUCCCUAUAGUAGAGGAUAGCCCGGCGAAAGUCGGAUUAAUACUCUAUGUUUUCCGUUGCAGACAUCUAAGAUGGAACAAAGGCUUGCCGCUAUAGGAUGGGGAUGCGUCUGAUUAGGUAGUCGGCGGGGUAACGGCCCACCGAGCCUUCGAUCAGUAGGGGUUCUGAGAGGAAGGUCCCCCACAUUGGAACUGAGACACGGUCCAAACUCCUACGGGAGGCAGCAGUGAGGAAUAUUGGUCAAUGGGCGCGAGCCUGAACCAGCCAAGUAGCCGUGCAGGAUGACGGCCCUAUGGGUUGUAAACUGCUUUUAUGCGGGGAUAAAGUUCACUACGUGUAGUGUUUUGUAGGUACCGCAUGAAUAAGGACCGGCUAAUUCCGUGCCAGCCGCGGC